rnacentral:rRNA from 1 species
UACGUAGGGUGCGAGCGUUGUCCGGAAUUAUUGGGCGUAAAGGGCUCGUAGGCGGUUUGUCACGUCAGGAGUGAAAACUCGGGGCUCAACCCCGAGCCUGCUUCUGAUACGGGCAGACUGGAGGUAUGCAGGGGAGAACGGAAUUCCUGGUGUAGCGGUGAAAUGCGCAGAUAUCAGGAGGAACACCGGUGGCGAAGGCGGUUCUCUGGGCCGUAACUGACGCUGAGGAGCGAAAGCGUGGGGAGCGAACAGG